rnacentral:lncRNA from 1 species
CCCUCCACAGGGUACCUCUGGUUCAAAUCCCCAGCAAAGACAUGGAAGAAUUUUUGCAACGCGCCAAAUCUAAACUGAAUCGAAGCAAACGCUUGGAGAAGGUUCAUGUGGUCAUUGGCCCCAAAUCAUGUGACCUGGAUUCUCUCAUUUCUGCCUUUACCUAUGCUUACUUUCUAGACAAGGUGAGAGGAAGGAGAAUUAUGUCAUUUAUACUUGAAUUAUUAUGUACCUU